CUGACAGGCCUUGAGACUGAAGUCUUCUCUUUGUACACAUAACAGAUGAUACGUAGACAAACACGGCAUCCACUCCCUGCCGCUUUCUGCCUUCCGUGUGCUUCAGCUGCYGCUUUCUCAAUAGGUCUUUUUCAUCUGACUACCAUUUGGAGUGGAAGAGAUGGUCCAGACUCUAUUCAGAGCUACUCAGAGUCUACU
rnacentral:sRNA from 1 species